rnacentral:rRNA from 1 species
GACGAACGCUGGCGGCGUGCUUAACACAUGCAAGUCGAACGGAAAGGCCCUGCUUCUGUGGGGUGCUCGAGUGGCGAACGGGUGAGUAACACGUGAGUAACCUGCCCUUGAGUAUGGGAUAACGUCAGGAAACUUGGGCUAAUACCGGAUAGGAGCUCCUGCUGCAUGGUGGGGGGUGGAAAGUCUCGGCGGUUGGGGAUGGACUCGCGGCGUAUGAGCUUGUUGGUGGGGUAGUGGCUUACCAAGGCUUUGAGGGGUAGCCGGCCUGAGAGGGUGACCGGCCACAUUGGGACUGAGAUACGGCCCAGACUCCUACGGGAGGCAGCAGUGGGGAAUAUUGCACAAUGGGCGGAAGACUGAUGCAGCAACGCCGCGUGCGGGAUGACGGCCUUCGGGUUGUAAUCCGCUUUCGCCUGUGACGAAGCGUGAGUGACGGUAAUGGGUAAAGAAGCACCGGCUAACUACGUG